rnacentral:lncRNA from 1 species
UAAAUUUAAAUAUAAAGUUAUAAAUUUGAAUUUAAAAUUUUAUGUUGAAUUUUAUUUCACAAAUAAAAUUCAAAAUAUGAUCAUAAUUUUAAUUCAAAUUUAAAGUGAAAUUAAACUUUAAAAAUAAAUUUAAAUAUUAAAGUUAAGACCAAAUAUAACCUCUUAGCUAAGCUCUCCACUUUCGGUGACUUCCGAAUUUUUUGAGCCGAAGUAAAAAAUGUGAUAUUUAGUUAUAACUCACUUUAUCAGCCCACUUUCAUAAAGUGACUUUUAUAUUUACUAUCGUAAACCAAACAACCAAUAAGAUGUCACUUUCUAAAAAUAUCACUUUCGAUACUACAUUUUUAGCGAACCAAACAUGCCCUUAGCUUUAGUUUUGUUUU